rnacentral:rRNA from 1 species
UACAGAGGGUGCAAGCGUUGUUCGGAUUUACUGGGCGUAAAGCGUGCGUAGGCGGCAUUGAGAGUCGCAGGUGAAAUCCCCAAGCUUAACUUGGGAACUGCCCGCGAGACCUCAAUGCUAGAGUGUGAGAGGGGAUGGUGGAAUUCCAGGUGUAGCGGUGAAAUGCGUAGAGAUCUGGAGGAACACCGGCGGCGAAGGCGGCCAUCUGGCUCACAACUGACGCUCAGGCACGAAAGCGUGGGUAGCAAAC